GGAACCUUGAGGAGGCAAAACCUCACUGAAGGAUGUGUACCACUGUGGGUGGGCAUUAAGGUCUUGUAGUCCAAUCCUAUUUCCUGUUCUCUGUCUACUUCCUGACUGUGGGUGAAAUGUGAUCAGCUACCACCUUCUACUGCCUUCCCUGACAUGAUGGACUGUGUCUCCUGGAAUUAUAAGAUUGUAGUAAAUCACGAACAGUCUGAAAGUACAUUGAGAUCAUAAGCAAAGUGUUUAAUGUGGCCAAAUGUAAAAUUUACAGUGACAAGAAGCAUUCUAGCCAUUUGUGCCAGGUACUCCAGAAAGUCACCUACCAACCACCAAAUUGCAAAAAUAUAUUGAAGAAUGCAGAUCCUGAGGAAAGAGUCAGCCCAUCACACCACAACAGGGCCCAAGAUGAAAUGAAGAGUAACUGGAGAAAUGAGCAAGUAUGCUGCUUUCUUGGUGAACUUAAUACCAGCACAAGAGUGAAGGACACAGACAGAGAGAACACUCAAUUCCUGCCAAACCAGAUAUCCAGAGACACAGAAGCUCCCCGGACAUCAUCACUAAAGUAGACCUAAAACGAACAUAAUAUGCCUCAUGGAAAUUCAUGGUAGAGGGGGUGGAAAAAUGGUUAGAGCCACACAUUGGUUCAUUAUGCACAGAGACAUUGCCUCUUUCCCAUAACUGAUGGCUAACCACACAGUGCAUGACCCAUAUUCCCCAACAAAUAGGGUCCCACCCAAGGUGGCAGGAUAGGGAGGAGGCUAAUGAUGGUAACAACAUGACUGUAUAAACAUUAUGUGCAUAACUAUAAAAAAACUUGGAGAAAA